UGGAAGCUGAGACUUGAGCUUCUUACAGAUUUGAAAGCCUGUAGAAAUAGGGACUGGUUAUCUACUGGACAUAGCUGAUUGAUACUUUGACAUGUUAGAUGCAUUGUGACUCGUACAGACAUUUAUGAUCUAUGGAAGCAUUCAGUAACACUAGUCGUAUUUAUCGGGAUCAGAAAUACAAGAUUUCUCCAAAGACCACCUUUGCUCCUCGUACUCGUCAAGGUGUAGGUUGCCAACAAAGGCAAGUGUCAGAUAGAAGGAUAUGUAAAGAGGAUGAGCUAGUCAGGUACAUGUGACACUUAUCAAGUUAUUUAGAGAAAGGAAAGAAUUUUCAGGAGAAAGGACUAAAUGUUGGUGUUCUUGACUGGAGGCGCCUUGACAACUAGCGGUAUAGUAAACAACAGAUAUGAUGUUACGGUAUUAAGGGGCCUCAAUCCAGCUUAUAUCUACCUUCUCUUUAGGAAGAAUGGUAUCCAAGCAUGGUCAGCUCUUGGCGGCUGCGUUUUGUGCAUCAAGGUAAUUUAAAUAGUAUUUUUGGUUGUGAUUGCCAUGAAGUUAGCAACAUAUAUCAUUUCUACUUGACUUCUUUAAUAAGUCAAAUUGUUGUCAUUCUUUGUACCAUCAUUCCUUCAAUCGAUCACUACUACAUAAUUAGUAUGAUACAUUUCCUAUUGUUUUGGCUGCUGCAACUAAUCCCCUUGGUUCUUUCUUAACCAGAUUAAGUUGUUUCAAUUCAGAGAAAAAUUUCUAACAAGUUGUGUUUGAAAGCCUAAAGAGGUCGUUUCUUUUCAGAAUGCUGAAUUACUUUUCAAGAAGUUUAUGACGUUCUGUUAACUUGCCUAUGCUAACAUUGUAAUUUGUUGGAGUUGUAUGAUCGUAGGAGCUCAAGCAAUGUUUGCUUAUCUAGGUCACUUCUCUAUACGAUCCAUUCAGGCAGAUUGCAUUCACUUGUGUUGUGUUCCCCUGCCUUGUGUUUAGCUUACAUGGGCCAAGCAGCGUUUUUGAUGAGGUUUCCAGCCUCAUCUGAACGAGUAUUUUAUGAAAGCGUACCAGAAGGACUUUUCUGGCAAGUCUUUGUGAUUAUUACACUCGCUGCUGUUAUUGCCAGUCAGGCCAUCAUAUCUGCUACCUUUUCAGUCACGAAGCAAGCCAUGGCCCUGUCAUGUUUCUCGAGGCUGAAGAUAAUUCACACCUCAAAGAGAUUUUGCUCUUGAAUGAUGAACUGGAUAUUGAUAGUGGCUUAGUGAGAUCAAGGGAUGCAGACGCUACUAAUGAUGUUGGAGAUGAGCUGCGAACUUCAUUGAUGCAUGAUCAACGAUUAGGAGAACCAAAAACACUAAAAUCAGAAGAAAACACGGAUAGUGUAUUGUCGUCAGAGGAUGAUCCUAGCUGGCUAAGCUAAAUUAUUUAAACAAUCAAACACAAGAUGAUGGAGAUUGAAGAUAACGGUCAAGUUUGAAUUGUACAUAUUAUUUGAUUAUUUUAGAAUUUUGGUUUUAGUAGGUAGCAUUAUAUUAUAGAAACUUUAUUUUAAGACAUUAUGAGAAGAAAUUGAUUCUUUGAAUGAAAUUGGUUUUGUAUUUAGAUUAAAUGUAGCAAAUAUUAUUUUGACAUGAUGAAUAAAGAAAUCAAGAAUUUAUGUUUAAUAAUAUUAUUGUGGCUAUUUAUAAAUUGUUAUAUAAAUCUGUCAAAAAAAAAUAAAAAAAAAUUCUUUUUAUUAAAAAAAAAACGUAUAUACAAGGAGUCGCAAAUACAGGAUAAUGUAUGUAAAUUGUAACAUUUUACUUUAAAAAAACGUAUAAUAAACCUAAGAAACCGGUUGUGGUCAAUAAAUCGGUUGUGGUCAAUAAAUGGUUCCAAAGGAUAAGGUAAGGAGAAUGGUUUUGAAUGUUAAAUGGUCUCCUAACCUCUUUACA